GGGGGGAGGCAUUCGUUAUUAUGAUGUUUGUCUUCUGGAGCAACCGCUCUGCUCACUUAAAGCUCUACUUCCUGGGAACUGGCUGGACAUCACCUGCUGAUGGGAAGUAGAAAAUAAAUCUUUUGCUUUCCCUUGCUUCUACACGCAGCUUUGCUUUUGCUUUAUUAAACUGCCUUUAUCUUGACCCAUGAGUUCUUUUCCAUCUUAUUUUCUCCCCCCCCCAUCCUGCCGAGGAGGGGAGUGAUAGAGCAGCUUGGUGGGCACCUGGCAUCCAGCCAAGGUCAAGCCACCACAGUCCUUUUUGGUGCCUAAUGUGGGGCUCAAGACAACGGCAGUAUUGUAUUAAGCGUGCUAUAGCUAUAGUAGUUAUUAAGUAGCAAGCUUCUGUGCCAAUCACAGAGUUUGUUGGCUACGCUGCUUAUCUCUUUAUUUCACUGAGCUUGGGAACAUGUUCGUAUGAACAAUGGCUUUCUGCUUUUCCCUGGCAUUGGUAACUUUGCUGUGCUGGGGGAGCUAUCUUGUGGAGAGGAUGAGGGAAUACCUCUCCCUCUUUCUACCCAGGCCCAGUGUGGGUGGUUUUAUUAUGCAGGCUCCUAAGGUCCUUGCUUACCCUUGCGGGAGCUGUUUAAUACUACUAAUUAACACUAUUGGCAUAUUAUGGGGUUUGUGGAAUCUGGUGUCAUCCUGGUGUAAGAGAAGACAACUUUUGGGUGAGGCAAUACUGAAAUGUGCCCUGAGGUGGCCAGUCCCUGGGUGGCAGGGUGCGUGGAAGGAUUUGGGCAGGUGCCUAGGGCAGUUGUCACCUCCCAUAGCCUGGGACUUUACACCUGAACAGGCAAGCAACCCUGGCAAACUCAUGUGCCACCUGAUAGAGGGGUGCCUUGCCUACCCCAAUGAAAACCAGCAGCUUCUAGCACUGUAUUGGGACUUGGCCUGUGCCUACUGAGACAGAGUUCAGUACUGUCAGAGCACUGUGGUUAAGACAGGGACCCAAGCUACCUUGGAAUACCUUGACUGAGAUGAGGGUGCAAACUACACCCGAGGACAUGAUAGUAGAGAUAGGGACCCAAACAACAACUAAAUUGCCCAGUAGUGAAAAAGAAAGUGGACAAGGAGGUCACUGGGUCCAUAUCAUCAAUUAGUAAGGGAGGAGGAAGAAGAGGAGGGGCUUGAUCAAGAAGUUGGUCCUCUGGCAAAGAAAUUGGAGGAAGAAGUGAGAGAAUUCAGACACGAAGCAGAAACUACCUGGUCUCUGACCUCAUCAGAACUUUGGGACAGGCAGAAAGAUUACAGCUGCCAGCCAGGUCAGUGGAUUGCUGCCUGGCUGCUCCAAUGCUGGGGUAACAGGACUGACAGUCAGUAAUCAGAAGGUAAGGAAGCCCAACAGCUGGGAUCCCUUGCUAGAAACCAGGGAAUUGAGAGAGGAAUUGGAAAAGAAUCAACAAUUUGCAGUCUCUGGAGAUGGCUCCUCUCAAGUGUGAGGGCAAGAGAUCCAUUCAAGGAAGAUCUUGUGAACUCCCCAGGAAAGUGGACUACUGCAGAUGAAGCCAUCCAGUACCUGAGAGAAUUAGUGGUGCUGGAAGUAAUCUACAGUGAUCUAGACAAUGAGCAGGUCUCCAAAGAUCCAGAGGAUGUCCUGUGCACAUGGGCCAUGUGGAGGAAGGCAAUUCAAAGUGCACCUGCAUCAUAUUCUAACAGCUUGGCAAUGAUUUGCCUGGAUAUGGAUACACCAACUGUGGAGAGAGUGUCUUCUGAAACUUUGAGGAAAAUCUCUGUCCUUCCUCAUCCCUAUGGGCCAGUGCCUUGGCUGUCAGGGGCACCCCAAGAAGUCAGUCCUCUCCUGCCCCGGCCAGAGGGUGUCCCGGGUUUGGUUGGGAUAGAGUUAAUUUUCACAGGAAGCUGGGAGGGGGCACAGCCAGGACAGCUGACCCGAACUAGCCAAGGAGAUAUUCCAUACCAUGUGAUGUCAUGCUCAGUAUAUAACUGGGGCUGGGGUGGAGGUGGUAUCACAGCAGGGGAAGUGGCAGAGCAUCAGGUUGCGGGUGGUGAGCAAUUGCAUUGUGCAUCACUCAUUUUGUAUAUUCUUUUAUUAGUACUAUUGUUAUUGUUGUAACUUCUCUCCUUGUGUUGUCCCGGUAAACUGUCCUUAUCUCAACCCAUGAGAUUCUACCUUCUUUUUUUUUUUUUCUUUCUCCUUUAUGAUUCUUCAUCCCACAGGGGGGGCAGGGGGGGAAGGAGUGAGCAAGCGGCUGCUUUGUUGCCAUCUGGGCUUAAACCACAACACGACAGAGGGAAAGGGAGCCUAAGGCACAGAGUGCCAUGUGGUGCAUUCUGGUUCUUCCUGCGUGACCAGGGGGAGGACAUGAGGAAGUGGGGUGGUGAACCCACCUUUAAGCUGCAAGCCCAUGUACAUGAACCGAGAGGGAAGACAGCUGUUAAGAAGGGGUCACCCACAAGACUGUCAGCGUAGUUGCUGUAGAGACAAAAGGCAGCAAUCGGUGAUCUCCCAGACAUAGAAGGACUGAAAUCACUUCCUUUGAUCCUGGUGAGGGGCCUUCUGGUCUGGCACUGAAAGGGUCAGACAGUGAAUACUCUGACCAGGAACAGGAAUAGAGGGUCCCUGCCUCUGGCCAGGAGUUGGAAAGGGAUGACCAGGUUUACUGGACUCUCUGGAUUUGAUGGCCUGGCACAUCAGACCCACAGAAGUAUAAGGCUUUGGUAGACACUGGUGCACAGUGUAUGCUGGUGCCAUCAGCGUAUAGGGCCACAGGACCCAUUGGGAUCUCUGGACUGACAGGGAGAUGCCAAAAAUUGUCUGUAUUGGAGGCUGAGGUGAGCUUAAGAGGGGACAAGUGGCAAAAGCACACCAUUGUGACCAGCCCAGAGGCCCCUUGUAUCCUUGCCAUAGACUACCUCAGGAGAGGGUACUUCAAGGACCCAAAAGGGCACCGAUGGGCUUUUGGCGUAGCCAUUGUGAACACAGAGAAGAUCAAACAGCUAUCAUCUACCCUGCCUGGCCUCUCGGAAAAUCCCUUCAUUGUAGGGUUGCUGUGACUUGAAGAACAGCAGGUGCCAGUUGCCACCAGGACAGUGCACCGGCUGCAAUAUCACACCGAGAGUCCCUGGCUUCCAUCCAUGAGCUGAUUCAUCAACUGGAGAGCCAAGGAAUGAUCAGCAAGACUCACUCACCUUUUAAUAGUCCCAUAGGGCCAGUGCAAAAGUCUGACGGAUGGUGGAGGUUAACAGUAGACUAUCGUGGCCUGAACAAAGUCACUCCACCACUUGGUGCUGCUGUACCAGACACAUUUGAACUCCAAUAUGAACUGGAGUCAAAAGCAGCCAAGUGGUAUGCUACAAUUGACAUUGCCAACGCGUUUUUUUCAAUUCCUUUGGCAGCAGAAUGCAGGCCACAGUUUGCUUUCAUGUAGAGGGGUGUCCAAUACACCUGGAAUUGACUGCCCCAGGGGUGGAAGCACAGGUCUACCAUUUGUCACGGACUAAUCAAAACUGCACUGGAAAAGGGUGAUGCCCCUGAACAUCUACAGUACAUUGAUGAUGUCAUCGUGUGGGGCAACAAGGCCAAAGAAUGUUUGAGAAGGGAAAAAGAGUAAUUCAGAUUCUUCUGAAAGCUGGUUUUGCCACAAAAAGAAGCAAGAUCAAGGGACCUACACACGAGAUUCCGUUCUUGGGAAUAAAAUGGCAGGAUGGACACCUUCAUGUCCAUAUGCAUGUGAUCAACAAGAUAGCAACUAUGUCUCCACCAGCUAACAAGAAGGAAACACUAGCUUUCCUAGGCCUUGUGGGAUUCUGGAGAAUGCAUAUUCCAGGUUAUAGUCAGCUUGCGUUACUCUAUCAAGUAACCCAGAAGAACUAUUUUGAGUGGGGCCUUGAGCAACAAUAAGCCUUUGAGCAUAUCAAACAGGAGAGAGCUUGUACAGUAGCUCUUGGGCCUGUCCAGACAGGACCAGCUGUGCAAAAUGUACUCCACACUGCACCUGGGGAGCAUGGUCUAACCUGGAGCCUCUGGCAGAAAACAUCAGCAGAAAUUCAAGGUUGACCAUUAGGGGUUUGGAGCCGGGGGUAUUGAGGAUCAGAAGCCCACUACACCUCGACUGAAAAAGAGAUACUAGCAGCAUAUGAGGGGGUUCGAGUUGCUUCAGAAGUUGUUGGUACAGAAGCGUAUCUCCUCUUGGCACCACAAUUGCCCAUGCUAUACUGGAUGUUCAAAGGAAACAUCCCCUCUAUACAUCAUGCAACCAGCACUACAUGGAGUAAGUGGGUAGCGUUGAUCAUGUAAUGAGCUUGACUGGGGAAACCCAAUCACCGAGGAAUCCUGAAAGAGAGCAUGGACUGGCCAGACGGCAGAGAUUUUGGAGCAUCGCCUAAGGAGGUGGCUUGUGCCCAAGAGGCACCACCAUAUAACGAGUUAUCAGAAGAUGAUUAUGCUUUGUUUACUGAUGGAUCCUGUUGUGUUGUAGGAACCAUCAGAAGUGGAAAGCUGCUGUGUGGAGUCCCACACAACAAGUUGUUGAAGCCACUGAAGGAGAAGUAGGCUGAGGGUGGGCAAGACCUUGGGAGGGGACAGAGCCAGGACAGCUGACCCAAACUGACCAAAGGGAAUUUCCAUACCAUAUGACGUCUUCUCAGCAAUAAAAGCUAAGAGAAUGGAAGGGUUGUGGGGGGAGGGUAUUCGUUAUUACAACAUUUGUCUUCUGGAGAAACCACUAUGCCUACUGAAGCCCUACUUCCUGGGAAGUGGCUGGACAUCACCUGCUGAUGGGAAGUAGAGAAUAAAUCUUUUGUUUUCCUUUGCUUCCACAUGUGGCCUUGCUUUUGCUUUAUUAAACUGCCUUUAUCUUGA